UGCCUUACACAUGCAAGUCGAACGGCAGCACGGGUGCUUGCACCUGGUGGCGAGUGGCGAACGGGUGAGUAAUAUAUCGGAACAUAUCCGGAAGUGGGGGAUAACGUAGCGAAAGUUACGCUAAUACCGCAUACGAUCUAAGGAUGAAAGCGGGGGAUCGCAAGACCUCGCGCGAUUGGAGCGGCCGAUAUCAGAUUAGGUAGUUGGUGAGGUAAAGGCUCACCAAGCCAACGAUCUGUAGCUGGUCUGAGAGGACGACCAGCCACACUGGAACUGAGACACGGUCCAGACUCCUACGGGAGGCAGCAGUGGGGAAUUUUGGACAAUGGACGCAAGUCUGAUCCAGCCAUUCCGCGUGCAGGACGAAGGCCUUCGGGUUGUAAACUGC
rnacentral:rRNA from 1 species